rnacentral:rRNA from 1 species
AGUGAACGCUGGCGGUAGGCCUAACACAUGCAAGUCGAACGGCAGCACAGUAAGAGCUUGCUCUUACGGGUGGCGAGUGGCGGACGGGUGAGGAAUACAUCGGAAUCUACUUUUUCGUGGGGGCUAACGUAGGGAAACUUACGCUAAUACCGCAUACGACCUACGGGUGAAAGCAGGGGAUCUUCGGACCUUGCGCGGUUGAAUGAGCCGAUGUCGGAUUAGCUAGUUGGCGGGGUAAAGGCCCACCAAGGCGACGAUCCGUAGCUGGUCUGAGAGAAUGGUUAGCAACACUGGCACUGAGACAAGGACCAGACUCCUACGGAAGGAAGCAGUGGGGAAUAGUGGACGAGGGGACAAAGGCUGAUCCAGCCAUACCGCGUGGGUGAAGAAGGCCUUCGGGUUGUAGAGCCCUUUUGUGGGGAAAGAAAAGCAGCAGGUUAAUACCCAGCUGUUCUGACGGUACCCAAAGAAUAAGCACCGGCUAACUUCGUG